AAAACUUUCAACAACGGAUCUCUUGGUUCCGGCAUCGAUGAAGAACGCAGCGAAAUGCGAUACGUAAUGUGAAUUGCAAAUUCAGUGAAUCAUCGAGUCUUUGAACGCACAUUGCGCCCCCUGGUAUUCCGGAGGGCAUGCCUGUCCGAGCGUCAUUGC
rnacentral:rRNA from 1 species